UCCAACAUUCCUGCCAGCUGGCGGAGUAAUGCAGGUCAGGCACACAUCCGUAUGUGUGGUGUUUGCGUGAAUUCGACCGUUAGUGCCGAGCUGACUUCCCUUAUCAGAAUUUGCGGUACUCCGGCUCUCACCAGCAUGCCGGGAAAAUAAAGUAUUUGGUUGGGGUCUAGUCAUUUCCUACGGAGCAAAACUCAACGCGGUGUCUGGUCAUAUCCUGCGGAGCCGUCGUAGGACGAAGACACUAUAGAAGAAGAAUCGGUAGAUCGCGUUAUUUAUGGAGGGGAGGAAGAAAUCCUAAUUGCUUCUGCUAAUAACUCACAUCUUUACUCGACGUCGUAUUGUCUAGUUAUGAUGUUUAAAGGAUGAUGACCGUAAAGGCGGAGAAUAAGUUAGUGUUGGAUCCGACGGCCCACAUCACCCAGACACUCGUUUAUAUUCAUAGCCUUAUAAAACCCAAAUCUUCUCAGUCGCUCCUCUCACGCACUCCAGCUCUCUCUAAAGGUUCUUGCGGCUCUGUGUUCUCUGGUUUGCUACAAUCUGCAUCGAUCAAGAUGGUGCUUCAGAACGAUAUCGAUUUGCUUCACCCACCUGCUGAGCUCGAAAAGAGGAAGCACAAGCUCAAGAGGCUUGUGCAGACGCCCAACUCUUUUUUCAUGGAUGUUAAGUGCCAAGGAUGCUUCAGCAUAACAACCGUGUUCAGUCACUCGCAAAAAGUUGUGGUGUGUGGGAAUUGCCAGACAGUGUUGUGCCAGCCUACUGGAGGCCGAGCCAGGCUCACCGAGGGUUGCUCUUUCAGAAGAAAGGGGGACUGAUGCUCGUGCUUUGAUCGCAUUUACAUGUAUUCGGCAAAUUGCAGAAGAGCUUUGUGAGGGUGAUUUAAGGAAUGUCUCUCAAAUUGCAUUGGAUUGGCAUCUUGUUCUUGAUGAAUUCAGGUUUUCUGUUUCUGUUAAAGAGCUUUGAGAUUUACCAGCAACUGCGAUACAAUAUUUUGUUUGCAGAUUUUAUGGUUUCGUUGCAACACAAUCCUUCCUGCAUGUAACUAAUCAUUUGCCGGAUUUGUGUGCUUGCCUACUUGCUGGUGGAUUUUAGAUCUCUUCGUAAAUUUAGAGUAAUUUAGGAUAUCGUUGUACCAAAAAAGAAAUGUCCUUCCAUUCAAUCAAUCUCUCUUUUGUUUUAAUUUAUGCAAACGAACCACCUGUCUAGAUCUAAAAAUCUAAAUUGUACGGAGCGAAUUGUUUUGCCUGACUAAGCUUCAGCUGGUUUUUACUGUUUA